rfam:Trichomalopsis sarcophagae strain Alberta scaffold14680, whole genome shotgun sequence.
UAAUCAGCUCUUUUAAGAGCUACCACAUUUUUUUAACGUAAAAAUA